rnacentral:rRNA from 1 species
UACGUAGGGUGCAAGCGUUAAUCGGAAUUACUGGGCGUAAAGCGUGCGCAGGCGGUUUUGUAAGUCUGUCGUGAAAGCCCCGGGCUCAACCUGGGAAUUGCGAUGGAGACUGCAAGGCUAGAGUGUGUCAGAGGGGGGUAGAAUUCCACGUGUAGCAGUGAAAUGCGUAGAGAUGUGGAGGAAUACCGAUGGCGAAGGCAGCCCCCUGGGAUAACACUGACGCUCAUGCACGAAAGCGUGGGGAGCAAACAGG